rnacentral:rRNA from 1 species
CGAACGGGAUUAGAUACCCCGGUAGUUCCACGCUGUAAACGUUGUGUACUAGGCGUAAGUGGCUUGAUCACUUGUGCCGAAGCUAACGCAUUAAGUACACCGCCUGGGGAGUACGCCCGCAAGGGUGAAACUCAAAGAAAUUGACGGGGGCCCGCACAAGCGGUGGAGCAUGUGGUCUAAUUCGAUGAUACGCGAAGAACCUUACCUGGGCUUGAACUGUGCUUGACAGAUGUAGAGAUACAUCCUCCAUCGGGCAAGUAUAGAGGUGCUGCAUGGUUGUCGUCAGCUCGUGUCGUGAGAUGUUGGGUUAAGUCCCGCAACGAGCGCAACCCCUACUCCCUGUUGCCAACAGGUAAAGCUGGGCACUCUGGGGGAACUGCCGGUGAUAAACCGGAGGAAGGUGGGGAUGACGUCAAAUCAUCACGGCCCUUAUGUCCAGGGCUACACACGUGCUACAAUGGCUGGUACAAUGAGCUGCGAUGCCGCGAGGUGGAGCUAAUCUCAAAAAACCAGUCUCAGUUCGGAUUGGAGUCUGCAACUCGACUCCAUGAAGUUGGAAUCGCUAGUAAUCGGGGAUCAGCUCGCCCCGGUGAAUACGUUCCCGGGCAUGUACACACCGCCCGUCACACCACCCGAGUUGGCAGCACCCAAAGUGGCUGA